rnacentral:ncRNA from 1 species
UUUCCGGGAGAAUAGAGAAUCGUGUGAGAAUCACGGACGGUACCGCCACUGUAUGGAGGGAGGCACUGCACUUGACGAAAGUCGGUCAUUGGGACUUUUCCUGAGAAGGCCGUGCAGCGCUGAAGAUUUCCAAGUCAGGAGACCUGCUCAGAC